rnacentral:lncRNA from 1 species
UCUGGUCUCUCUCUCUCUCUCCCUCCCCCCGCCCCCUCGCUCUCCCUCUUUCUCUCAGAGUUUUCUUCUUUGUUUUGAAUCUGGAAUUUUUCCAGAGUGUUAAUCACAGAGAAGUUCUUGUAAACUAGUCUUGCUACAGUAAUUGAUCGGCCUAAAAUAUUGGCUAUCUAUUGUAGGUAGUUUUUGAUAGUUUGAGAGAAGAAGGUUGUGUCCAAUUUGGAGAUCCUUUGUGAAUCGAUAAACGAACUGAUUGUACUGAGUUGUUCUCUAUAUUUUGCUCUCUCUAGAAGGUAGUUUGUACAUAAUGGAUUAGGUUUAUCCUAAGCCCCUAGAUUAAGCCAUUUUCGAGUAAACUGGGUGAACAUUUUGUUGUGUUCUUUACAUUUUCGUACCGUAUGUUUGUUUUUGGUUGAUAUCGAUUAUGGUCGUUGGGUAAUAAUACCCAACAAAUCUAGUAUCAGAGCCAGUUCUCGAGGCUUCUCGGUAAAACAUCUUUGUUCUGAGAAUAAUCUUUUGAAUUGAUCAAAGAUUUGUAAGAUCCCAGAUUUUUUGAAGUUCUUGGUCUUUUUUAAAUUUAUUUUGUACUGCACUCUAUUCAAAUCUUUACAAAUUUGAACAGAUCGUUUAAGGCUUCUAACAUCUCUUUUUAAGUGUGAAGGUAAAGGGAUUUUGGUUUCUUCUUUCUUGGCCAGUUUUCUUGGACAAUACUUGGCCAGUAAAAAGGUGCGUUUUCUAAAUUUAAUUCUGUUGUUUAACAGUGCUGGGUGAGACCGUUCUUUAAACUUUCUCUGGAAAAUCCUAGUUUCAUAUUAACCCGCUCAUAGAAAUGUGGACUAAUUAAUGUAAAUUGAGUACUCUGUAUUAUUGAUUAAUCUUACAUAGGAGCAUGUGUAGGACCCGAAGCGUUAAAAAAUCAAUCUUUCUUUGGCUCAAUUCCUUUGAUUUAACCAAAACAAUUUGUAAAUGAGAAAACUUUUGAGUUUGAAAUAUAUAAAAAUAGCUAGA